rnacentral:misc_RNA from 1 species
UUACAACCCUCCAGCUCUGCUGGUCUUGGGCCGGUCUUUCACCGAAGACCUCCCUCAAAGUCAGUGGCAGACUCCACGGUCUCGGAGCGCAUUGGAACUUUCAGUUUCGCUACUCGAGUAUCGGCGGCGUGUCGCCAACGCGAACCCCCCAUUUUUACACGGUUGACCUCGGAUCAGGUAGGGAUACCCGCUGAACUUAA